UACGUAGGGUGCAAGCGUUAAUCGGAAUUACUGGGCGUAAAGCGUGCGCAGGCGGCUUUGCAAGACAGAUGUGAAAUCCCCGGGCUUAACCUGGGAACUGCAUUUGUGACUGCAUGGCUGGAGUGCGGCAGAGGGGGAUGGAAUUCCGCGUGUAGCAGUGAAAUGCGUAGAUAUGCGGAGGAACACCGAUGGCGAAGGCGGCAUCCUGGACCGGCAUUGACGCUGAGGCGCGAAAGCUAGGGUAGCAAACGGG
rnacentral:rRNA from 1 species